UACGGGGGGAGCAAGCGUUGUUCGGAUUUACUGGGCGUAAAGGGCGCGUAGGCGGUCGUGACAAGUCACUUGUGAAAUCUCCGGGCUUAACUCGGAACGGUCAAGUGAUACUGUCGGACUAGAGUACAGAAGGGGCAACUGGAAUUCUCGGUGUAGCGGUGAAAUGCGUAGAUAUCUGGAGGAACACCAGUGGCGAAAGCGCGUGACUGGGCCACAACUGACGCUGAGGAACGAAAGCCAGGGUAGCGAAAGGG
rnacentral:rRNA from 1 species